AAAUAUAAAAUAACAAGAAUGUGUCCAAAGUACACGGAUGCCCCACUCGCACUAUCAUUUUCCAUGUUCAAUGGACCGUAAAAUUGGGUAACAAAUCUAAUUUGGCAUUAAAAUUAGAAAGAUUAUACCAUAGGGAACAUGUGUACUAAGUUUCAAGUUGAUUGGACUUCAACUUCAUCAAAAACUACCUUGACCAAAAACUUUAACCUGAAACUCACACUUUCAUUUUCUAUGUUCAGUGGACCGUGAAUUUG
rnacentral:lncRNA from 1 species